rnacentral:rRNA from 1 species
ACAUGCAAGUCGAACGGGAAACCUUUUAUUGAAGCUUCGGCAGAUUUAGCUGGUUUCUAGUGGCGGACGGGUGAGUAACGCGUGGGUAACCUGCCUUAUACAGGGGGAUAACAACCAGAAAUGGUUGCUAAUACCGCAUAAGCGCACAGGACCGCAUGGUCCGGUGUGAAAAACUCCGGUGGUAUAAGAUGGACCCGCGUUGGAUUAGCUAGUUGGCAGGGUAACGGCCUACCAAGGCGACGAUCCAUAGCCGGCCUGAGAGGGUGAACGGCCACAUUGGGACUGAGACACGGCCCAGACUCCUACGGGAGGCAGCAGUGGGGAAUAUUGCACAAUGGGGGAAACCCUGAUGCAGCGACGCCGCGUGAAGGAAGAAGUAUCUCGGUAUGUAAACUUCUAUCAGCAGGGAAGAUAGUGACGGUACCUGACUAAGAAGCCCCGGCUAACUACGUGCCAGCAGCCGCGGUAAUACGUAGGGGGCAAGCGUUAUCCGGAUUUACUGGGUGUAAAGGGAGCGUAGACGGACUGGCAAGUCUGAUGUGAAAGGCGGGGGCUCAACCCCUGGACUGCAUUGGAAACUGUUAGUCUUGAGUGCCGGAGAGGUAAGCGGAAUUCCUAGUGUAGCGGUGAAAUGCGUAGAUAUUAGGAGGAACACCAGUGGCGAAGGCGGCUUACUGGACGGUAACUGACGUUGAGGCUCGAAAGCGUGGGGAGCAAACAGG